UUUGAGAAAGAGAGAAAGCAAAGAGAAAAUGGCGGAGGAAAAUCAAGUCAUCGGCUGCCACACUACUCAAGCCUGGGAAGAGCAGCUCCAUAAGGGAAACGAGAACAAGAAACUGGUAUUUCAAAUCUCCAAUCACACUUGUAUAUCUUUUUCUUUGCUUACAGAAAAUUCAAUCUUAGUCUCCAGGAAGAUUGACUGGCUUUCAUUCUGAGUUCUGUGAUGAUAUAUUGCCUUUGUAUUCUACGAUCAGCUUUCAUUCUGAGUUAUUGAAUGGGGAUUUUUUGAUUUUCUUGUUCACCAUUUGAAUUUGUUUGUGCCUAGAAAUUUAGUUCAAAAUUUUAAAAUCAAGAGCAAAAAUUGGGUUUAUUGCAGCCCUUACAUUUCAAAAUAGAAAGAAUUUUGUCCGACUCUAGAUAGGGGCUUUGUAAUUUGCAAAUGGCUUAAAAACCUAGGUGUACGGUUGUGUCCUCCGCUCCGUUUAACAUUUUGGUUGUCGAAGUGGUUUUAUACUUUGAUUAACUAAUUAAAUACAUUAAUUUGGUGUCUUAAUUUAAUAGGUGGUGGUGGAUUUCACGGCUUCGUGGUGUGGACCGUGCCGGUUGAUCGCCCCAAUCUUGGCGGAGUUGGCUAAGAAGACCCCAGAAGUGACGUUCCUAAAGGUGGACGUGGAUGAACUGAGGACUGUUUCCGAGGAGUGGGGUGUGGAGGCAAUGCCUACCUUCCUCUUCCUCAAGGAAGGCAAGAUAGUGGACAAGGUUGUGGGUGCCAAGAAAGACGAGUUACAGAUCAAAGUUGCCAAGCAUGUCGCCGCUGCCGCCGCUGCCUCCGCCACCUCUGCCUCUGCCACCGCUGCUACAGCUACUGCUACUGCAUCUGCUUAACUUCUAUCAUUCUCUGUGGAGACUAUGAAACUCCUACUGUUUUACUAGUUGUUUAUAACUUUUAUGGAUUUCUAAAUUUUCUAUGAAGACAUCUGAAUUGAAUGCUUUAUGUAUAUCGCUACUUGUUCCCAUAUGAUGCCUCAUGCCAGUUAUCUAUGAACGCUUUUUAUUACAGUGCCAUUGUUAUUUGGGAUGGAAAUUUCAUGAGCCAAUUGAAAACAAUAAGAUUUUGCAUUAAGUUUAUUUUGGAAUGAUAGUCAAAACCGGAGCCAAUCUAAUCAAACCUCGAGGCAAAAGCACUUGCCUUUACUUAACAAACUAUGCUUUAAAAGCUUACUUACUUGAGGCAAAGGCAAAAGCACUUGCCUUUACUUAACAAACUAACUAUACACAAACACAAUGUGAAUCCAAGGACUCUAUUCUGAUAGAUAGAGAUUGGCCAAUUCAAUGUAGAUCUUCAUCUGUAAGUAUGCCUUCCUUUGUCUUGAUUCUUUGCUUCAUAGCUUUGCAUGAUGUGCCUCCUUUUACAACGUCUUCAUCUCCUCGAAUCGGGUUGAUUGGUAGCAAUUCCUGUUGAACAAACAGCUUCAACUGAUAGCCGCUUGAGUACAUUCGGGCAUGGAUCUGUCCCAAAUAUGCUAUUCGAUACAGUAACUAAGCAACUCUCACGGCCAAUACAAUUCUGCAAAACACGUUAAGAGAUAUUAAUAAAUCUUUAUUUAUCAAAAGAAUAUGCAUCUGCGAGUUCACUAUACAAGAACAAGAGGUGAAAAGACUGUAGUUGGGGAAAUACCUUCUCUACAAUGGCAUGAGAGUUGGUCGCAUGACACGUUCCUUGCUGGAAACUCCCGCAAGUUCCAGUAGGAGUUCCAAAACUUGCAAACUUAAUGCUCGAGAUAGACUGCCCUGGCACACACUGCAGAUGAACCUGGGCCUGGUGAAGCGUUUUCGAUUCUUCAUGGCUGUCAAUAUCUAAUUUUUCAGCGUUUGGGUGGUGUUCUUGUAAAUCAGCACAAACACCUGCCACUGAUCUCUUCACCAGGGUUAUCUUUGAUGGAUCCCCACCGAGUUCCUCAAACACUACCACCAGAUUUUGUGUUGGCUUUAACCAGGACCGAGGAACAUGGUACCUGAAAAAGAUUAUCAAAAUAAUGUUUGAUGACCACAAGGGAUUUCAUCUUGCAGCAAUUUUAGAGGUUUUAGUAGCUUAUAAGGUAAUACCAUCGUUGAGUUGGUUGGCCACAGCCAAGUUGACACUUCGUCGGCCGGAAUGUCCCAAUGUAGCUGCACAAACUGCAGUCACCAUUGGCAUAAGCCAUCCAGUAUCUGCCUAUGCUCUGGCCGUUGAUCCAUACUUGACCCUUGCCCAUGCUCCGCAUGUCCAAAGCCAAUGGCUCAUCUCCUCCAGGUGCAUUAAAAUAAGCCUGCACAAUCCAAGCUAACAUUCAGUUUAGCUUGUAAAGCCUAAGACUUCACCAGCUAUGAUCACUUAAUAGCCAAUAAGUUGUUCCUCCUCUGUCUCCUCCUUGUCUUACUUCUCUCCCUCACAAUCUUGAAAUCUUUACCUUAUACCAUUUCAACGUCUGUUUGGUUUGGGUAGCUAGCGAGCCUCGGAUCCAAUCAACCGAUGACCCUCCAUUUGGAGAGACCAAAUCCAUUGCUUCUCCUUUAAGGCCAACCUGUUUGGAAGAUUUUCCUAUGAGAUUAAAACCACGGAAAAAAAGAAGAAGAAAAAAGAGAUGGAGAUAGUAGUAAGUGGCCAAAAUGGAUAAAUGCAGAUGGGGUGGUUGUCUGACCUUGUUGAACCACUUCUGCAUUGUUAAGUCUUUCCUUCCCUGGCCAAGACCAUCCAGAAAAACUGGACCCAGGAUUCCUGUUUUCCAUGACUCAUAGUGCAACCCAACAUUCUUCAACACCAAAACAAAAAGAUAAUCAGUAACUGAAUAAACUAAUGUGAUUCAUCAUUUAGUGUAUGUGAUCAAUUGUACAAGGGUUAACUGCUCAUGUGCAUUCAGAGUCAAUGAGCCAUGGGCAGGGCACUAACCGGUAAUCCAACAGCUAUGCUGAGUAGUGCAAUUUUAUUUAUUCCGGCACGGAGGUGGACUGGUUUAGCAAAUGUGAAUUGCCUAUGCUCCCUAGUUCCGAAGGCUGACCCUGUAAUAAAUUAAUAAUGUUUUUGAUUCAAGUCAGAGAUAUGGGAAAAAUUGAAGCCUCAAUCAAAUAGAAGAAUAAAUUCCUGCUCACUAGAUGUGGGAGAACAAAAUAUUUUACAACAUACCUGAAAACUGUCCGUUGACGAAAACAUGGAGGGCAUGACCUGCUGACUGCACAGUGAGAGUAGGCUUUUUCCCUCCACGGAGCUCUGAUGAACUGAUGUCAACACUGAAUAACAUUCAUACUGAAAAUGUCAAAGUAUGGCCAUAGAUGUAUUUUUGAACGGAAAAAAACCAAUUAAAGCACAACUGAUCACUACUGCAAAUGUUCUAGAAAAGCUUUUACUUCCAGUGAAGAAGUAAUUUGACAAUUGUUUUUAUUAUAGGUUGGAUUUUCUCAAAUUGAUUUCUUGACGGGUCUUUAUAUUUCCUUGGUUGAUCAGAUAUCAGUUUAACUGACUAAGAAAUGAUUAUUCAAAGAUAACACUGCGCAGCUGCUCACUUGGUCAUGUACCACAGAUAGUCACUAGUAUCUCUAGUGACAUUUAUCUGCUCUAGAAGUCCACCAGCUGCUAUGCUUGAUCUCUCAUGUAGAGAAGAAACAUCUUCAUCAUAUGUCUGCCAUGAAAACAACCGACUAUUUGUUGGGAUCAUCUGCACCCGUGAAGUUUGAACUCCCACCUUGAUGACAGGACGACAGUUGCAUCAGUAACUUGAGUGAGAGAGAUUCAGAAGAGUAUGGAACUGAGAAUCUUAGUUGCCAAUUGCUAUUACCAAAAAAAGAAAGAAAAAAGAAAGAGACUGCAAUAUGGGCCCCUUUAUCUUUGCUUACCUUUGCAGUGUUAAAUACUACAUUUCUGCAAUCAGGAAGGAUGCUAAUUGACCAAGCAGGCAAAUCAUAGUGCAUGUUAUUAAAAGUCACCCUUGCUCCUGUUGAAUGGAAGUUUGAGAGAAAAGCUGCACAUCUUCUUGGUCCUGAAUUGAAUACGUAAGCCUGGAAGAUAACCAAGAUAUGUACUUCUUUUUCAAUAAGGUUAAUCUUUCAGGAAAUUGUGCCACUGACAGAAGAAAGUAUCACAUUGAAGAAGCCAAACCUGCUGAUAGGCUCCUAAUGAAGUAACAGUAGGAUCUGAAGAAACUAAAGCAUGUUCACAAAGCUUGAUCGCCUUAUGGAGCUCCUUCAGAUGACCAUAUUUAGGUUGUCUGAUCAAACCUGGCAACAGUUAGUUAGUUAGUUCCGAGUAAGAGCUUAAGAUCGAAACUGAAAUGCCAUGUGUGCCAACAAAUUCACAACCUUUCAUAAUGGAAUUGAACUAAAGGUUUUACCAUAUUCAUCAAUGGGAGCAUCAUAGUCAUAACUGGUCGUAAUGAAUGGGCCUCCAGCAGUGCGUCCAAAGUUGGUUCCUCCAUGAUACUGUCACAAACCAUAAACAGUGAAACUCAAAAUUUGGGCUGGCACAAUUUAGUCUUCAAAACUUGAGCUGAUUAACAAGCAAACCAACCAUGUAGUAGUUAAUAUAUGAGCCACCCUUCUGUAUGAAGCGAGCAACUGAAAAUGCCAAAUCUUGAACAGGUCGAUGGUGAAUUGUGCCGCCAAACUCUGUAAACCUGAUCAUGUUUGUUCGGGUUGACAGAUAUUAGAAGAAUAAAUUCGAAUACAGUCAGUCAACUUCCGAGUAUUGGUAAGCUAAAGAUCCACUUACCAGCCGCUCCAAGCCUCGGUCCACAUGGUAGGCUUGUAAGGUUUGUUGGGAGAGAAGCCAUCGCAGUAAAAACCAUUACAUGCAUUUAUCUGUCACCAAGAUAUAAGUAGAUGAAACUCAGUGUUUCAAAUGCUGAAGCCUAAAAAGAAAUGGGGGAAUGGAAGCAAGAAUUUGAAACUAAAUGUCAAUUUUGAUAUUCAAGAAAGGGUUCUAGUUCUAGGCAUCGGAGUGUCAUGGGAUCAGCAGAGUAGAUUUGGUAUGUGAAAAUUGAAAAGAACAAGAUAGCUAACCAUAGGGUCUGGGGCAUCAUCUUCCUUGCACAUCACCCAUGGAACUCCUGUAUCCAAUGCAACAGCCAUUUUGGCAGCCCAAUUAAUGUAGGCAUGACCAGCAGCUCCAAGUGCCUUGCUCUCUGGCCCAUACUCAUUCUCUAUCUGCACAAUACAAAACAUAAAGAAGAAUUCAUGAAUUAUUUAUCCUAAAAGAAUUCAUUGAACUCAAAUAGUUACAAGGCCACGCAUCAAGAAUCAGUACCUGGGAAAGGAUGAUGGGACCACCUUGUGAUGCAAAUAGCAUUUCAUUUUUCAUCAUCUGGACAAUUUUCUGGGUGAACCCUUGCAUUGCCAUCUUCCCCCAAGAAAAAAACAGAGAGAGGAGAAGUUUAUCCACAUUUUCUCUAAUUUGACCACAUUCUAACAAAAUCUGAAGGUUUUCAGUAGAGAAUUUCAGGAAGAAAUACCUUGAAUGGCCCAUUAUCUGUUCUGAAGCUGAUACCAGGGACAUAUUUCAGCCAAACCGGAAAUCCUCUGUACAAAUGAGAGUCGAAUUAAGCACUCAACUUAAAGUUAGGAAAUAUAUGCAACUAACCCAAAAAAGAAAAUAAUAAUAAAUUUCUGAUAUGUAGCAUUUACUCCACUGCAGAGACAGAAUUCAGAUACAAUAACUCUAACAAAAAACAAAAUUAAUUAAAUAAUUAGAAGAUGUACGGUACCCAAAAUUCCACUCUGCACAAACAUAAGGUCCAAUGCGCAGAUGAAGGUAGAGCCCUGCUUUCUGUACUGUCUUUAUGAACCGUACGAGAUCGUAUCUCCCCUCAAAAUUGUACUGAAGAUCAAAAUAAAAAGGAGACGGAAUUAAGCUAACGUUUCAAAAUUGAAGUGACAGCAAAAGUAAGCAAAUUGGAACUUAAUAGAACUGUGACACAGAGGAGAUGAAGCAUACAUUGCCAGGAGAAGGUUCAUGACCAUUCCAGAAAACGUAGGUGUCAAUGACAUCCAAGCCUCCAUCUUUGGCUUUCUGUAUAAGACCUUCCCACAUCUGCACCAAAACCCAUUUCAUCAUUUAACAGAGAUCACCAAAAGAAAAGUCACAAAAAUCACAUUUUUAUGAUUUUGGGCUAGUAAAAGACAGAGUAACAGAAUGAAAGACACAGAGAGAGAGAGUGAAAAUACUUCAGGGGUGCUUCUGGGAUAGUGAAUUGAGCCAGAAAUGAGUAAUCUUCUCUGGCCAUUGAUGAUAAUGGCCUUCUUAUCGUAGGUGACGGUGGUGCACUGGAUCAGCUCAGAACUCAUAAACAAGGUCAUCAAGAACAGAGUUAAGAGCUUGGAAACCAAGUGAGUUUCCAUGUCUGAUAUGUGGAGGGAAAUUUGAAAAGAGAGCUUUAGAAUGCUGGAAAUGUUUGGAAAGGCAAAGUGAGAAUGAAGCUCUGAGCUUCUGAUCUAUAACUCUGCAGUGACAGAGUGAUACUGACAGCAACUCUGCCCGGCCUUUGGUUUUGCACUUACAAAAACUGGUUCAAAUAGCUGUAUGAUACUUACUAUUAACUACUUUAAUAUAGAUAUGAUUGUGUCAGGUUGGAGGUGGAAGGUUGAAUUUAAUCAAUGAUAUGAAGAUUAAAAAUGUGACUUUUAAUUGUCGGUUCAGUCAAAAUUCAGGGAACCGAAAAACAAGAUAAUUCAAACAAACAAAAGCUUCUUACAUUAAUUAAAUGGCCAAAAAAAAUGAACGUCAGGUUAUUACUAAACGAUUUAAUUUUGAAUUGAUUAACCAUAAAUUAAUGAGUCUCUAAAUUUCAGUAGUUGUGUUGUGAGGUGGAGUAGGUUCAUGAUGAAACCACAUGCUUUUGAAAAGCAUGUAAAACAACAAGCUCUCAUGCUUUGAUCCAGAAAUGGACCCCAUCAUCCCCCAUUCGAUUCAUCAAUUGUGCUCUUUGCUUUGUUUGCUUGCACAGUGCACUACCCAAAACCCAUUUCAUCAAUCAUUUAUACAAUAUAUAUAUAUAUAAAUAUAUGGUAAUGCUUGCCUGUGAGUCUGUGACUCUGUCUGUGAGUAAGCAAAGCCUUGUCUUGUAUAUAUGUCCCACUGGGUCGUAGGCCAUGUGACGUGUUUCUGCUAUCUAUCACUAACCAAACUAUAUAUUUUGGGCACACACACGUGAACAUAUUCAUAUGCACCGUCACCUCAGAAGCACUCAGCUCAGAGAUAAUGAAUCUUUAUUUUCUACCUGUCUCCCACAAAUAUUCAAAAUCAAAAAGGGUAGAGGAAAGGAGGUUGACGGAGGAGGAGCCAGAAGAGAAGACUAGACAGACAGAGGGGGCCAUUGCUUUGUUCGAUCGAAUAUUGUGAAUUCUUUGACAUUGGCCCACUGAUUGACUCUCUGUAGUCUGUACAUAAAACUCCUCCUAGGGUUGGGUUGGGUUGCCUUUUCUGUAAUAAAAACCCCAACCAUCAUUUUUAAGCCUCUCUCUCUCUCUCUCUCUCUCUCUCUCUCUCUCUCUCUCUCCUUGUUUAGGCAAUGCAAUUAUGCAACCAGCACAGAGUUUACUUCAUUUUCACUCUUCAUUUAGUAAGGGAGGUACCCUUAAUCUUAUGUUUAAGGCACCAUAUAUAAAAUUCAAGGUUAAAUUGUUGGAAAUUGGCAAUCCGUAAAAAAUGUAUAAUGUUUGUUUUUCAUGAUUUCAAUAAUAAAAUAGAAAAGCAAUAAUUCUCUCCUUGAAUCAGCACUGUGUUUGCAGAUAGAUGAUGGGGUUAGCUUUUUACUUAAAUUACAAGCAUGAAAUCAAUCAUAUUUAAAGAAAUGACUUGUAUCUUUUUUUACAUGCAACUGUGGACGUUUGAUUGAUCAUUCUAAACUCUAAACCUAUUUGUUUUAAGCGGGAUUUGAUACCUUCAAUUUCAAAUCAAACUAAAGAUCGUCGCCAUUUCAAUUUUCGUACAAAAAGGUAGCCAACCAACGAUACAACUUUGUCCACUCAAGGAAGGACACAAGAAAAAGAAGGAAAAAGAAGAUUAUGAAUGAUUUAUUAAACAAAGGAAAAGAAACAUGGAAGGACGACAGAUGGUGCAUUUGACUAGAGAGUAUAGUUCAUGGGAAUGUGGGUCCCAAAUAAAUGAGUUUAGAUUUAGAAGCGUGUAACGGGCCACCUUUCAUGGCCGUUUGUUUCUUCCGUCUACAUGUGAAUUUGCAAUUUGGUGGCUAGCUAGCUAGCUAGAUCUCCGUUCCGUUUACGUCGGUGCUGCGGACCAACCAAGCAUUUAGCUGUCCCAGGUUUUGGUUUAUCCGGGAGGGAUGCUACUCUGUUCUGGAGUCAUCAAAUCCCACUUUCAUCCCGACUCUUAUUAUUAUUAUUAUUAUUUCACCUUUCUUUUUCUUUUAAAGUGAUUUUAAAAAAUAAAAAAAAUACAUGGGCUCAAAUCCGAAAACUUUUCAUGGGCCUGUCUGUGUUUACGACAGCUGAAGAAUAUGAAACAGAGAAUUGGGCUUCAGUUUCUUUUUUAUAUUGGGCCCGAAUCGGAAUGUCCCAAUUCAAGAUUCCUUCCUGUUUACAAAUUCUGAACAAAUUCCUUUUGAAAAAACCUAUGACGAAUGACCAAUGAUGGGAAAUGUAACACUACGGAUGUCGAACUGAUCAUGAUAUAUGCCAUGCAGAAAGAUAUGUAAUAUAUAUAUUCGAAAAUUCCGAAUAAAGGAGUUACUGCGUAAUCUUCUGUCUCCCAAUUUGAAUUCGUUGCAGAAAAUGUAUGGGAAAAAUUCCAGACCGUCACGAAUGCUUAAAAGCUAGCCAAAGAUAAGACUCUUUUUUUCUAUUUCUUAUGAGGCACAAGAGAUAUUUUGAGCAAUCAUUUGAUUCUUUAACUUGGAAGCCAUUCUCUCCCUCCAUAGUGGAGAAGAGAAUUAGCUUCUUCCUCUCCACAGUCUAAUCCACCUAUAAAUAAAUUAUUUCCCUUAAUUCAUGCACCUUCACACUUAAAGCAUCCUUUUUGUCUGUAUAAAUUCCUAGCUCACCCAUCCCUUCUUCACACUGCAACAUUCAAUUUCAUCCUUCACACUCUCACGCUCACCCGCUCUGCUCACUGCACCAAAAUGGUAACUGUUUGUUUUGUCUAAUUCAUUCAUGUUAUUGUUCUUCAACUUAAUUCCACUCGUCACUUAAUUACAACUCAACUGACUAAUUAGAGUUGGACUAUAUUAAUGCAUGGUGGCAGAGUACUUUUGAGGGAUCCGAGAAAAAACUGGUAUCAGUUGGGCCGUGGGGAGGCCAAACCGGGCUCAUUUGGGAAGAUGGAGUUUACUCAACGGUGAAGCAGUUGGUGAUAGCUCAUGGAGCGGCCAUUGAUUCCAUUCAGGUUGAAUAUGAUGAGAAAGGGACCUCAUUUUGGGCUGAGAGGCAUGGUGGAAAUGGAGGCUGGAAAACAGACACGGUUACUUCAUUACCAAGUCACCAUUACUUUAUUAAUCCCAUAGAGUACAUAACAUGAUUAAUUAAAGCUAGCCAAUCACAUAAUCUUUUGCAAAUUUUUUGUCUACUUCUUACUACUGCAGGUGAAGCUUGCUUAUCCGGAAGAAUUUUUAACUUCAAUUGAGGGACAUUAUGGUAAGAUUAGUGAAUGGGGACCGGUCUCAAUUCGAUCACUUAAAUUCAAGAGCAACAAAAAAACUUAUGGACCAUUUGGAAUUGAACAAGGAACCUAUUUUUCGCUCCCAGCGGCAAGAGCUGGGAGUAGUAAGAUUGUUGGGUUCUUUGGCAAGUCUGGUUGGUUUCUUGAUUCAAUAGGAGCUUACCUAAGGCCUAUUCAGAAUUAUCAAAACCAACCCUCAAAAACUACGCUGCAAACAGAGUCUUAUAUGAUUGGUGGUACUGAUCAGAACCUUGCCGGCUACUCGGUCCUCCAAAACUGUGAUGUGUUUUUUGCUAUAAGACCCAAGGAUGACUACACUGCUAACCCAGCUGCAGUACCAGUACCCAACAACAAGCUCUCAAUGCAAUUUUCUAAUUCUGGAGAAUUAAGUGAUGUAGAAACUAAGUUCAAGGUAAGAGAAACUUGCCUUUAAAAGUUCAAGGUUAUUCAAUUUGAAAAUGUGCAUUAACAUAAAGUUCUUCAUUUUAGACGCCAAGUAUUGAGAAGGUUCCCGCAAUAGCUGCUGAAGGGGUGGUAACGUAUGGUCCGUGGGGAGGGACAGGUGGUUUUGAAUUUGAUGAUGGAGUUUAUUCAGGAAUUAGACAAAUCAAGUUAUCAAGAAACGUGGGAGUUGUAAUAUACAUAAAGGUUCAGUAUGAUUGCGACGGUGAAGCUGUAUGGGGAGCCAAACAUGGCGGGACUGGAGGUUAUAAAAGUGACAAGGUGAAAUUUGUCUCAAAUUAAGUAUAGUUUUACACUAUAUAUUGAUUUAUGGUAGCUGUUUUUUAUUUUUAUUUUUUCAUUUGAUUUGAAUGCACACCAACGUUCACUUGCAAUGUCUUGUUUUACACUACAUAUGUGCAGAUAGUUUUUGAUUUUCCGAACGAAAUCUUGACGCACAUAACAGGAACAUUUGGGGCUGCCAUGAUGAUGGGGCCUAUUGUGAUUAAGUCCCUCACUUUCCACACGACGAAGAAGAAGCACGGGCCAUAUGGAGAAGAACAAGGAACCCCUUUCACCACCAAGCUUAGGGAAGGCAAGAUUGUUGGAAUUCAUGGGAGGAAGGGUCUCUUCUUAGAUGCUCUUGGGGUGCAUGCCACAGAAGGGAUGGUCAAUGUUGAGACUGAGAUACAGACACCACCUGUCACAAAUACUCCUAAUAAUUGCACUGCAAUCAUCCCAAAGGAGCCUGCAGGGGCCAUCACAGAGGUAGACAAUCCUCACUGGUCUAACAAGCUGCUAAUGACAAACAGAGGAAAAGUUGAAGAGGUAACUAAGUUUAAUCUAAUUCCAUGCAUAUAUAUUAGUAGAUAAUACAAAGAUUAUACAGGUGCUAAUUGGAUAGGUAAUUCUGUGUUGGUGGCCAGGUUGCUUGUGGGGUGAUAAAAGAGCCAACCCCAAGUGGACCAGGGCCAUGGGGUGGAGAUGGAGGCAGAGCAUGGGAUGAUGGAGUGUUUUCUGGGAUUAGGCAGAUUCAUUUGACAAGAGCAGCAGAGGGCAUUUGCUCAGUGCAGAUUGAGUAUGAUCGAAACGGUCAAUUCAUUUGGUCCGCUAAGCAUGGAGGCAAUGGAGGAACUGCCCCACAUCGAGUACUAAUUAAAUGCUUAAUUAAUUAACAUCUUGAUCAAGUGAAUUUAAUCUCAAUUUGUAUGUGUCCUCCAUCUAACAAAUUAUUACUUGAUCAAUUUGUUUUGCAGAUUAAAUUGGAGUAUCCUCAUGAAGUGCUGACUUGUAUAUCUGGGUAUUAUGGUUGCAUUAGUAAAAACGAGCGACCUCAAAUUAUAAAGUCGUUGACAUUUUAUACCAGCAGAGGCAAGUAUGGUCCAUUUGGGGAAGAAGUUGGGACAUUUUUCACUUCAACUACCACAGAGGGCAAGGUGGUGGGCUUGCAUGGCAGGAGCAGCUUCUAUUUGGAUGCCAUUGGAGUUCAUAUGCAACAUUGGCUGGGAAGUGGCCAGAAAACAUCCAAGAUCUCUCUCUUCAGGAAAUUCUGAUCAAUAUGUCUCAGUCUCAGUGCUAUAAUUGGAGCUCACACAGCAAUAAAUAAAUAACAAGCUUUUGUCGUACAAUUUCUAUUCCUCCUGAGUGUCUUUUUCCUAAUAUGAAAUUCCAGGAUUAGCAAUUUCUGUAUCUCUAUCUGUACUAGUUUUAUUUUUUAUUUUUGUACACUACAACUUCGUUUUAUACAUAUGUAAGCAGUCCACUUGUAAUGACAACCUGGCCGUCAACUUUUUGACCAUGCCCUCCCUGCUUAAAUGUGGCGAGAUAUUACUGGCUGGAUCUUAGCAUGAUAGAGCAAAUCACCGCAGUGAGUUAGGGGCGGCUCUACGGGUGUGCAAGUGGUGCCAACGCAAAAGAAUUUUUUUACGUGUAUCUUAUGUGUAUUAAUAUUAUAGGUAUUAUAUAUAUACUUGAGCGUGCAAGAAUGUAACACAAGUGUGUAUUUGGUAUUGAGUUGGAAUUUAUCCCCUUGAUUUUAGUAGGCAAGUUGGAUUAGAGUCCAUAUUGUCUCAUUCAAUAGUUGUAUUUUUACAUUUCUACUCCUUUUUUAUUGUUAACAACAUGAAGAAAAAAAAGAGAAGGAAAUGCGUCAAAGAAGAGGAAAGCAAUAUAUACAAACUUUCUCCAAUCAAACACAAAAAUUUGGAAUGUAUGUUUUCACCCACUCAAAACGAAACAAAAAAGUUCAUGUCUUCUUCCUCUACCAUUUUUCUCAAAUUGAAACAUUAAAACUUUUAUGAAUGUUAUUUAUGAUUGCUAUUGCAUGCUAAUAGAUGAUGAAUUUUAGUUAUUAAAAAAAAUAUUUUAUGGCAAAAUUUUCUAUAAAUAUUUCUAUAUUAGAUUGAGGGCUCGCGUUUAAGUUUCGCACAAGGCCCUCUAAAUCUCAAGACUGGUUCUGACAACCAAUCAACCAGAUCCGAGAAGAUGAAGACGUUGUAAAAGGAGGCACAGCAUGCAGAGCUAUAUGAAGCAAAGAAUUAAGACGAAUUCGAAGAAGGCAUACUUGCAGAUGAAGAUUCUACAAUGAAUUGACUAAUCUCUAUCUAUCAGAAUUAGAGUCUUUUUCGAUUCACAGAGUGUUUGUGUAUAGUAGUUUGUUAGUAGAGGCAAGUGCUUUUGCCUCAAGGAGGCUUUUAGAAGUAUUGUUAAGUAAAGGCAAGUGCUUUUGCCUCGAGGUUUGAUUAGAUUGGCUCCGGUUUUGACUGUCAUUCCAAAAUAUAUUUCAAUGCAAAAUCUUAUUGUUCCAAUUGGCUCUUGAACUUUCCAUCCCAAAUAAAUAUGGCUAAUUAUUAUAAAAUAAAAUAAAAAAAUUCAUAGAUAAUUGGCAUGAGGCAUCAUAUGGGAACUAGUAGCCAUAUACAUAAAGCAUUCAGAUGUCUUAAAAGAAACGCAUAAAAGUUAUAAACAACUAGUGAAACAGAAACGAGUUUCAUGGUCUCCUCCACAGAGAAUGACAGAAGUUAGGCAGUAUCUGUAGAAGUAGCAGUAGAAGUAGCAGUAGAAGUAGCAGUAGCAGUAGCACUCUCAGAAGAAGUAGCAGUAGCAAUAGCAGUAGCACCGGUGGGGCAGGUAUCACUGGUGGGACAGGAAUCAUCAGUGGGGGAGGUAACAGCGGCAUGCUUCCCUACUUUGGUCCGUAACUCGUCUUUCUUGGCACCCACAACCUUGUCCACUACCUUGCCUUCCUUGAGGAAGAGGAAGGUAGGCACUGCAUCCACACCCCACUUUUCAGAAACAGUCUUCAGUUCAUCCACGUACACCUUUAGGAACGUUACUUCUGGGUUCUUCUUAGCCAACUCCGCCAAGAUUGGGGCGAUCAACUGGCAGGGUCCAUAAGACCAAGCCGUGAAAUCCACCACCAGCUAUUAAAUUAAAGACAUCAAAUUAAUGUAUUAGUUAAUCAAAGUAUAAAACCAAUUCCACAACCAAGAUGGUCCGUACACCUAGGUUUUUAAGCCAUUUGCAAAUUACAAAACCUCUAUCUAGAGUCUGGACAAAAUUAUUUCUAUUUUGAAAUGUAAGCGCUGGAAUACACCCAAUUCUUGCUCUUGAUUUCAAAAUUUGGAACUAAAUUUCUACGCACAAACAAUUUUCAAUACGGUGAACAAGAAAAUAAAAAAUUCCCCAUGAUCACAGAAUACAAAGGGAAUAUUGUAAGACAAUAUCUUGUCUUAGCCACGAAAUGAGGUCUUCUAAUCACAUGAGGAGUCGAGGAGUUUGUAUUGAUCAAGAAGUACUGUCCAAACAUAUCUGCAGCUAUAGUCUAAGUGCAAUUUGAUUAGAAUACUAGAGCUUUGAGGUUUCGUAGUCUUAUAUGGAUUAAAACAACCUAUCCUAAUGCAAUCCAGUUUGCAGUUUGCUUGUUUCUUGAUGGGCAAGACACUUGAGUAAGGUUAACUUUUUUUUAUUUUAAAUUUUAAAUAUUUAUAUUUUUAUAAUCAGUAUUUCCGUUUUUUAUUUAUCAUUAUUUGUAGUUAUAGUGAAUUGAUGGAAAUGCCCAUAAACUUAUGGAGACUAAAAUUGAAUUUUUUGUAAGCGAAGAAAAAAAAAGUGCAAAAAGAUAUAAAAGUGUGAUUGGAGAUUUGAAAAUUGAAAUACCAGUCUUUUGUUCUCGUUUCCCCUAUGGAGCUGCUCUUCCCAUGCGUCAGUAGUGUUGCAGUCGAUGACUUGAUUUUCUCCAGCCAUUUUUUCUUUGCUUUCUCUCUCUCUCAAAGGAUUGUGAUAUUCUCAAGCAAGCUAGGUUAUUACAAGUUGUUUUUGUGUUUUUUUUUUUUUUUGCGACGAAUGUAAUGGGCUCAGCCGCGGCGUAUAUAUACAGCCCACAGUCGACCUUAACCAAGAGGUCAGAUGUUUAAUGUUUAUUGCGAAAAUGCCAUUGCCAUGAGGUGGCUGAGGCAUUCAUAUUAUGUGACGUGACGCAUGCCCAUAUGUUGAUGGAACAUUAAUAGAUUUUGUCGUUUAUUGAGAAAAGUCGAAAUGAACCGGACAAAGGCUCAAAGAGAACAUAUUUUCCAAAUAGAUUAAAGCCCAAAAGAGUAUAAAAAAAAAAUAGAAUUUGGUCAAAUGUUACGUAUCUUCCUUUUGUACAACAAAGGCAAUUAAAAUUAAAAUUUGAUCCCUUCCUUCUAAAAAGGAAAAUUAUCUUUAGUCUUUCACUUUGAAUUAAAAUUUGAUCCCAUGCAUUAUUAUGCAAAUGCAAUGGCGAGGAGGAGGAUUUGUGGGAGAUCACCACCCAUCAAUUGGGUAAAGCGAUGUUCUUUCUUUCUUAAGUUAAACCAGCACAUUGUUGGCGAGUCCUUAUUUAGUUAUCUUUUUCUUCCAUUAAACAAGCCCACAUGAACUGGGGACACAUGCAUUAAUUUCCCUAUUUGGUAGUGUGAACAGUUAGACCUAGUAUAUUAUACAAAGGCUUUUUUUUUUUUUUUAAUCACAAAUGUCUUGUCUUUUUACUUUAAAUUAGUUUUAUAUUACUCCAUUUACUUAAGUUUAUAAUGUAAAUAAGGAAGUACCCCCUAUUUGGAUUCAAUAAAAAAUACUAGAAAAUUAAAUUCCUAACAAAUCAAAUAUAUGAAAACCCAAUUUUAGUAUAAGGUACAAUUUAUACCAAUAUUGAUACUUCAAUAAGUCAAUAUAUACUUUAUACUAAAAUCUCAUAAGUUAAGUCAUUCUCUCUCUUUAGAUUUAGGAGCUCCUCGAGAUCUCCUUAUUUUAUGAGCUAGAUAUGGAGCACUUAGAGGUCUUCUUAUUUUAUGAGCUAGAUAUGGAGCAUAGUUGGAGGUGUGGCUACAAUGCCUAAUAAGAGAAUCUACAAUGGGCUUCCUAAACCACCUCUUUGGACAAAUUUUAGGGAAAAUUUGAAAAAAUACUACUCCAACUAUGCUCCCUAUCCACCUCCUAAAAUAAGGAGAUCUCUAGAAGCUUAUAAAUAUGAUAAGAGAGAAAGGACUCCUAAUAGCAACAUCCACAAUGAUGCUCUCUAUUUCUUAGCUAAAAUUUAGUUAAAAAUAUAAGAAAUCUAUUUUAAGAGCUCUCUAAAAAAUUUCAACUCCAACCAUACUCUCUAAUUUGGAAAGUCAUAAAUGCUAUAACUCUUUUUUGAUUGGUCCAUCUCUAUUAAAAAACAAAAAAUAAAAUAUUUAGCAUUAAAUAAAGGUUUGAGAUACUCAUUAAAUAAAGCAACACUAAAUUAUAGGGAGCCACUAGGAGUCUUUUCUCUCUCCUCAGAUUUAGGAGCUCCUAGAGGACUCCCUAUUUUAGAAGGUGGAUAGGGAGCAUGGUUUGAGUUGCAUUUUUACAAUUUCUCCCUAAAAUUUGUCUAAGAAUGUGGUUUAGGGAGCCCAUUGUGGAUGCUCUUAUAAUUUAAUGUUGCUUUAUUUUAUGAGUAUCUUAAAAUUUUAAUUAAGGCUAACUAUUAUAUAUAUAUAUAUUUUUUUUUUUUGUAUAGAGAUGGACCAAUUAAAAAAUAGUUAUAGGAUUUAUGAGUCCUUAGAUUAGAGAGUAUAUGAUUGAAAUUAAAAUUUUAUAAAAACCUCCUAAAAUAAAUUUUAUAUAUUUUUAACUAAAUUUUAACUUAAAAAUAAAGAGUAUAAUUAUAAAUGCUCUAAUGUCCUCCACUUGGGAAUUGGGAUUACAACACAAAAGUCUUGUCCAAGGAGAAGGACCAAUACCAACCAACUUAAUUGUACUAGUAACAAUUUAAUGCUGAAACUCGUCAGCUCAACAUCCAAUUUGUACUGUAUAUGUGUAGACAUAUAGAUCAACAUGGUAUGAUAUGCAUGUGUCGGAUACAGGCGGUAGGGACCCCCUUUAUUAAUUCUUAAUUAAUGAGUUCAUAUCAUAAGCAAUUCCUUUUUCUUUCUUUUUUUGGUCGAAAUAUGCAAUUCCAAUAGUCUUUGAUCAAUGAUUUUUCAUUAUCUCGACAUUUAGAAAUAAAAUCCAGUCCUACUUUUGAUUUUAUUUUUCAGGUAUAAGGAAUAUACUUUCAUUUCUUAAGAGGUAGAUAUAUUAUGAUUUAUGAGAGACCACUACCACCAAUUGGCUAAGGCGAUGUCCUUUCUCUCUCAAGCUAACUCAGCACAUUGUUGACGAGUCUUUACUUAAUUAGAAUUUUGGUUACUUACUUAUAUAUCUAGUCCUAUUAUAUCUUUUUCUUCCACUAAACAAGCCCAUGUGAAUUGGGGACACAUGCAUUAAUUUCUCUACUUGGUAGUGUGAACAGUUAGACUUGGUAUAUUAUACAGAGGAUUUUUAUCACAAAUGUCUUGUGUUUUUACUUUAAUUUAUUUUUAUAUUACUCCAUUUACUUAAGUUUACAAUGUAAAUAAGGAAGUGCUCCCAAUUUGGAUUCAAUUAAAAAUACUAGAAAAUCAAAUUCCCAACAAAUCAAAAUAUGAAAAUCCAGUUUUAGUAUAAGAUACAAUUUAUACCAAAAUUGAUACCUCAAUAAGUCAAUGUAUGCUUUAUACUAAAAUCUCAUAAGCCAAGCCAUUCUCUCUCCUUAUAUUUAGGGUCAGUUUGGCAUUGAUGUGCUGUAAAAAUAAUCAUUGUCAAAUUUACUGUGAGAUAAAUCAACUGUGAAAUAAAGCAGUUUAGCGUUUGGUAAACUUUUUAUUAGAAGUGCGGUUGGUUAUAUAAAAAAAAAAAGACGGAAUUAUUUUUCGAAUUUUGAAAGUUUCAUUAAACCCAGCACAUCUUCAUAAUUGAUUUCCGCAUAAUCCAAAAAUGAAAGCAUCAUGCUUUCUUUCACAACAAUGAUUCAAAAUAAGUGAUUUUAUUAUCUUUUACCAAACAAGUUGGGAUUUCGAAAUUUUCAAAAUAAUCACUUAUAGCCCCAAAUAAGUAAUGCCAAACGGGCACUUAGGAGCUCCUAAAGAUCUCUUUAUUUUAGGAGCUAGAUAAGGAGCAUGGUUGGAGGUGUGAUUACAGUGCCUAAGAGCAUUUACAAUGGGCUCCCUAAACCACUUUCUUAGACAAAUUUUAGGGAGGAUUUGAAAAAAUACAACUCCAACUAUGAUCCUUAUCCACCUCCAAAAAUAGAGAGAUAUCUAUGAACUCCUAAAUCUGAAGAGAGAAAAAUGAUUCUUAGUGGCUCCCUAUAAUUUAAUGAUGCUUUAUUUUAUGAGUAGGUAUGAUAUGCAUGUGGCGGAUAGAGAUAGUGGGACCCCCUUUAUUAAUUCAUGAUUAAUGAGUUCAUAUCAUACGCAAUUUCUUUUUCUUUUUUGUCGAAAUAUGCAAUUCCAAUAGUCUCUGAUCAAUUAUUUUUCAUUAUCUCAACAUUUAGAAAUAAAAUCCCGUUCUGUUUUUGAUUUUAUUUUUCAGGUAUAAGGAAUAUACAUUCAUUUCUUAGGAGGUAGAUAUAUUAUGAUUUAAUGUAAUUUAAUUUUUUUCUCAUAAACCAACUUCAUCUAGAUUACUAGCUAGUGGUUUGGGAUAUAGUAGUGUGGAUUAUCAAGCAAGCGCAUGUACUUUUUUAAUAAUUUUUUUUUCCCUUUUGUCUUCUUUGGGUGUAUUUGUAAUUUUCUAUCCAAGCACAACUAUUAUGACCAAUUAACAUUUACGAGAAAAAUGCCCUUUAGUGAUGGCUAAAAAGUGUCUAGAAACAUAAUACUUGACGGAUAAGAAACCGUCAAGAGUACCAUUGUCAGGAACGGGUAUCCGAUUUAUUGAUCUUUUUUUAACCAUCAAGUAAUCUUUCUGCUUGAUGCCUUUUAACCAUCAAGUAACACUUCAAUGAUAGCUCUAAGUAUCAAUAUUGUAGUUAUUUGACAUAUAAUGAGUGUCAAUUAAAAAUUAUUUAAUUUGUAAGAACCGUCACAUGGAAGAUUACAUGACGCCUAAAAUGUAUUUUGUAAUUUGUAAUUCUUUCACAUAUUCAGGAAAUUCACUACUAGAAGGAGAUGAAUCAAAAUUAUGACAAAACCAUUAUAAAUUGAACAAACUUCAACCGGUUUAGGAGUGACGUUCUUGGACAUCAUAGGAUCCAUCUUCUUGUUGAGGGCGGCAAUUUUCCUUGCCAUGUCAUCAUUAUGGCUCAAUUCAUAGACGUCUCUCGCCUUGCUCGUAAUAUCUCUCUGCUGCGAAUUUGAUCUCAACCCUAAUCCUAGUGACCAAAAAUGUAAUUACCGCUAAAAAAUUGCCCCACUCUCUCUUUCUUUGCCUCUCGAACUCUCUCUCUCCGACGUCUUCCCUCAUCUUAACCACAUAUCUCAUCCCCAGUGCCCCCAGAUCUACCUCCACUCUCAGAUCCGCCUUCAUUUAUAAUUAUAUGUAAAAUGUUUGAAAGUUAACACUUCACAUUGAAAAUAAAUAAAUAAUAAUUGUCUCAACAACAGUUGACACUCCUUAAUAAUCAACAAUAAUUACCAACUCCAAAGAGUUCAUCUCAAUCCUGCAACUUCCCUUUCUUUUCAGGGCUCCACAAAGAAUCAUCCAUUUCCACAAAAUCUAGUUUUGUUUGUUUGUUAAUAAGUGAAACUUGAUUGAAAGACAAAGAUAAAACAAUCACCAACAAGAACAAACGCAUCGAGCAAACCACAAGACGGGGUAAGAAUAACCAGAGGGAAUCAACCAAGUCUCUCAGUAAAAAGAGGAAGAAAAAUCCAAUCUUACAACCAGAGGGAAUCGUCUCCAUGUAAACACCACCUCUCACUGUCAGUCUCUCAGAGUCUCUUUUCAUUCAUUAUCAUAAUCAAUUCUUGCCAAUAUUCAAUGUUACAACUAUUUGGAAUUAGUUUAAUAUAAAAAAGAAAUAUAUAUAUAUAUAUAUAUAUAUAAUCGAAGGGGUAGAAUAAGUUAUUGGGCAGAAAGAAGUUAUUGAAAAGCAAAAAAUGAAAAGAAAAAAAUAUGAAGAAGAAAACAGAAGAGAGGCUACAGAAGAUUGGCCAAAAUCAAUUCAUGUUCCACCGAUAUAUGGGUAUGCGUCACGUCACAUAAUAUGAAUGCCUCGGCCGCCUAAUGACAAUGGCAUUUCCGCAAUAAACAUUAAAAAUCUGACCUCUUAGAUAAGGUCGACUGCGGGCUGUAUAUAUACGCUGCGGCUGAGCCCAUUACAUUCGUCGCAAAAAAAAAAAAACAAAACAAAACAAAAAAAACAAAAAACACAAACAAAAACAACUUGUAAUAACCCAGCUUGCUUGAGAAUAUCACAAUCCUUUUGAGAGAGAGCAAAGAAAAGAUGGCUGAAGAAAAUCAAGUCAUCGACUGCCACACUACUGAGGCAUGGGAAGAGCAGCUCCAUAAGGGAAACGAGAACAAGAAACUGGUAUUUCAAUUUUCAAAUCUCCAAUUACACUUCUAUAUCUUUUUGCACUCUUUUUUCUUCGCUUACAAAACAUUUAAUUUUAGUCUCCAUAAGUUUAAGGGCAUUUCCAUCAAUUCACUAUAACUAAAAAUAAUAAUAAUAAAAAAAGGGAAAAAAAAGAAGAAAGAAAGUUAACCUUACUCAAGUGUCUUGCCCAUCAAGAAACACUUAAGCAAAUCGGAUUGCAUUAGGAUAGGUUAUUUUAAUCCGUAUAAGACUAUGAACCCUCAAAGCUCUAAUAUUCUAAUCAAAUUGCACUUAGACUACAGCUGCAGAUAUGUUUGAGCAGUACUUCUUGAUCAAUACAAACUCUCCGACUCCUCAUAUGAUUAGAAGACCCUCAUUUCGUGGCUAAGACAAGAUUGUCUUACAAUAUUUCCUUUGUAUUUUGUGAUUAGCUUCAAUGGGGAAUAUUUUAUUUUCUUGUUCACCGUAUUGAAAUUGUAUGUGCCUAGAAAUUUAGUUCCAAAUUUUGAAAUCAAGAGCAAGAAUUGGGUGUAUUCCAGCGCUUACAUUUCAAAUAGAAUUAAUUUUGUCCGACUCUAGAUAGAGGUUUUGUAAUUUGCAAAUGGCUUAAAAACCUAGGUGUACGGUUGUGUUCUCCAUCUCUUUAAUAUUUUGGUUGUGCUUGUGGAAUUGGUUUUAUACUUUGAUUAACUAAUACAUUAAUUUGAUGUCUUUAAUUUAAUAGCUGGUGGUGGAUUUCACGGCUUGGUCUUAUGGACCUUGCCAGUUGAUCGCCCCAAUCUUGGCGGAGUUGGCUAAGAAGAACCCAAAAGUAACGUUCCUAAAAGUGGACGUGGAUGAACUGAAGACUGUUUCUGAAAAGUGGGGUGUGGAUGCAGUGCCUACCUUCCUCUUCCUCAAGGAAGGCAAGGUAGUGGACAAGGUUGUGGGUGCCAAGAAAGACGAGUUACGGACCAAAGUAGAGAAGCAUGACGCUGCUGCCUCCCGCGUUGAUGAUACCAGCCGCACCGGUGCUACUGCUAAGGCUACUGCUACUGCUUGUAAUAGUGCUACUGCUACUGCUACCGCUACUGCUACUAGUACUACUACUAGUACUGCUGCUGCUGCCACUCCUACUGCUACUUCUACA
rnacentral:lncRNA from 1 species